rnacentral:rRNA from 1 species
CACGUAGGAGGCGAGCGUUGUCCGGAAUCAUUGGGCGUAAAGAGCGCGCAGGCGGCCCGGCAAGUCGGGUGUGAAAUCCCGGGGCUCAACCCCGGGACUGCAUUCGAUACUGCCGGGCUAGAGGUAGGUAGGGGAGAUCGGAAUUCCUGGUGUAGCGGUGAAAUGCGCAGAUAUCAGGAGGAACACCAAUGGCGAAGGCAGAUCUCUGGGCCGUAACUGACGCUGAGGAGC